CUUUCUCACAGUGGGUUUUAAGCACAAAAGCCGCAUCCUGGGUUGACACAUCUCAGUCAUCAAGAACAGUUAUCCAGAAGCAGAAUUACAGAAGCCAAAAAAGCAAGUGUUCUGACAACUGAGGUUCAAAAUAAAAACACCAGAGACCUGGGAUCCAAGCUCAGCUUUUGGGAUCCAAGUUGAACUUUCAGAUUAGGUCAUGAGUGCAAUAGAGGACCUGAAAGUUUGAGCUCUCCUGAGUAUAUAAGAUGCUAUACUUCUUAAUAAACUUGCUGGCAUGAGUCAUCAGCUCACGAAGACCUCCUGACCCCAACUUUCCCGUCGUUAUUAUUCCUCUCCUCCCGGGUCCUCC